AGCUCAAAUUUGAAAUCUGGGUCUUUCAGGCUCCGAGUUGUAAUUUGUAGAAGAUGCUUCGGGUGCGGCUCCGGUCUAAGUUCCUUGGAACAGGACGUCAUAGAGGGUGAGAAUCCCGUAUGUGAUCGGUGGCUUGCGCCCAUGUGAAGCUCUUUCGACGAGUCGAGUUGUUUGGGAAUGCAGCUCUAAAUGGGUGGUAUAUUUCAUCUAAAGCUAAAUAUUGGCCAGAGACCGAUAGCGCACAAGUAGAGUGAUCGAAAGAUGAAAAGCACUUUGGAAAGAGAGUUAAACAGUACGUGAAAUUGUUGAAAGGGAAGCGCUUGCAACCAGACUUGCGUGUUGUCGAUCAUCCGGGGUUCUCCCCGGUGCACUCGGCUUCACUCAGGCCAGCAUCGGUUUCGGUGGUUGGAUAAAGGCCUUGGGAAUGUAGCUCCUCUCGGGGAGUGUUAUAGCCCUCGGUGCAAUGCAGCCUACCGGGACCGAGGACCGCGCUUCGGCUAGGAUGCUGGCGUAAUGGUUGUAAGCGACCCGUCUUGAAACACGGACCAAGGAGUCUAACAUCUAUGCGAGUGUUUGGGUGUCAAACCCAUACGCGGAAUGAAAGUGAACGGAGGUGAGAACCCUUAAGGGUGCAUCAUCGACCGAUCCUGAUGUCUUCGGAUGGAUUUGAGUAAGAGCAUAGCUGUUGGGACCCGAAAGAUGGUGAACUAUGCCUGAAUAGGGUGAAGCCAGAGGAAACUCUGGUGGAGGCUCGCAGCGGUUCUGACGUGCAAAUCGAUCGUCAA
rnacentral:rRNA from 1 species